GUGGUCGUACUUCUAGGGAUCAGUCCUAUAGUACGUAUCACCAGGACGUCAAACAACUUUGACUUUUGGAGAUUA
rfam:Schistosoma rodhaini strain Burundi genome assembly, scaffold: SROB_scaffold0004601